rnacentral:tRNA from 1 species
GAGUGGUAGCUCAGUUGGUUAGAGCGCCGGCCUGUCACGCCGGAGGUCGCGGGUUCGAGUCCCGUCCACUCC